ACAAAUUAUCAAAACAUUGAUACGGAUUACGGACUGCUUUAAAAUCUAUCUUAAAAAAAGACAGUUUCGUCUUAGUUUUUGUUACUUUUUUAAAUAAGAUACAAAGCAGUAAGAAUGCCUCCUAAAAAGCAACCUGAAAAAGGCGGGAAGGGUAACGCAGCUAAAGGUGGAGCAAAAUCCGGCGGGGAUUCAAAAGAAUCUGGCGGAAAAGAAAAAAAAGGUGGCACCGCUGUCAAAGUCCGUCAUAUAUUAUGCGAGAAACAGUCGAAAUGUUUAGAGGCCCUAGAAAAAUUGAAAGCCGGUCAAAAGUUCCCUGAUGUAGCUGCUGCAUAUAGUGAGGAUAAGGCGCGUCAGGGUGGAGAUUUGGGUUGGAUGACGCGCGGUUCUAUGGUGGGACCUUUCCAAGAUGCAGCAUUUGCUUUACCAAUUUCUGCAGUAACAAAUCCGGUGUACACUGACCCUCCUAUUAAAACCAAAUUCGGAUAUCAUAUUAUUAUGGUAGAAGGAAAAAAAUGAGUGACACAGUGUUUGAGUUUGAAUAUUUUUGGGCAAUACUACUACUAUUUAUUAUGGAACGGAUUUGUUGUUUACAAGAACAAUUUGAUAAGGAUUUUGCAUUAUUGCCUGAUUCACAGCAAUCAAAUGAAUCCCUUAUUUCAAAUAUUGAAGACUUUGCUAAUAAAGAUUUUGGACUAAAACUAAGUUUUCUAAGGUUGUAUCGGUUAAUGCAUAUCACAAUGCUAUUGACAUUAGUAUAUUUCUGCAAUAUUUGUCUAUGGUUCAUUAUGAUGAAGAAAAAUUCAACCAAAUCAUAUGCCUACCGCUUCAGAUUAUUUUUUCCAGCUAGUUAAUUUGUGAAUAAAAUUUAAUACUGUUUAA